GACGAACGCUGGCGGCGUGCCUAACACAUGCAAGUCGAACGAUGAACCCGGAGCCUGCCUUCUGGGAUUAUUGGCGAACGGGUGAGUAACACGUGUGUAACCUGUCCUUGACUCUGGGAUAUGCCUUGGAAACGACGUCUCUUACCGCAUAUGACCUUGUACCCCACGUUCUGGGGUGGAAAGUUUUUUCGUUCUGGAGUGUACUGGCGGCCUACCAGCUUGUUUGUGAGGUAAUGGCUCACCAAGGCGUCGACGGGUAGCCGGCCUGAGAGGGUGAGCGGCCACGCUCCGACUUAGACAGGGCGCAGACAGCUGCGAGUGGCAGGAAUGGGGAAUAAUGCUGAAUGAGCGAAAGCCUGAUACAGAAGCGCCGCGUGCGGGAUGACGGCCUUCUGGUUGUGAAACGAUUUUAGUGGAAGAAAAGGGCUUCGGCUUGACGGUACCUACAGAAAAAGGACCGGCUAACUACGUG
rnacentral:rRNA from 1 species